rnacentral:sRNA from 1 species
GUAGCUAUCUGCCACAAAAGGGCAAAUGAUUGUGGUGAGGGUUGCCAAUUGUACAAGUUCCACCUAGCGAGAGAAAAGAGAGGCAAGUGCUAUUUAAGUCUUCCUUGGAAGACUUAGCAAAGCUUAUGUGGUCAACCAUCUUUGAUGCGGGCAAUCAUAGGGGUUGUCGGGGUGAUACUGGAUGGUUUUCAUUGAGAGUCCUUUGUGCGCCAUCGAGUCGGACUGGAUAUGAAGAGGUAUUUUCCACGAGAGUUGAUGUCCCUCGUUUACAAUUCUAAUAGUAAAGUAACUUUAAGAACGAUUUUGUCAAAAGGCUGCGAGGUCUGAAAUAAUAAGGCAAUAAAGAAUGAUUUUUUUUUAAAAAAACUCUUCUUAUAUCAAAAUGCUCCUAUCAAAGAAGAAGAAGAAGAAGA